rnacentral:rRNA from 1 species
CCUACGGGGGGCAGCAGUGGGGAAUAUUGCGCAAUGGGCGAAAGCCUGACGCAGCGACGCCGCGUGAGGGAUGAAGGUCUUCGGAUCGUAAACCUCUGUCAGCAGGGAAGAACGGUCACUGUGCUAAUCAUCAGUGAAUUGACGGUACCUGCAAAGGAAGCACCGGCUAACUCCGUGCCAGCAGCCGCGGUAAUACGGAGGGGGCGAGCGUUAAUCGGAAUUACUGGGCGUAAGGCGCUCGUAGGCGGUAUGUCAAGUCAAGGGUGAAAUCCCCGCGCUCAACGUGGGAACUGCCUUUGAAACUGGCAAACUGGAGUGUGGGAGAGGAGAGUGGAAUUCCAGGUGUAGGAGUGAAAUCCGUAGAUAUCUGGAGGAACAUCAGUGGCGAAGGCGACUAGCUGGAACAUAACUGACGCUGAGGAGCGAAAGCGUGGGUAGCAAACAGGAUUAGAUACCCCAGUAGUC